UGGGUAACCUGCCUCAAAGAGGGGAAUAGCCUCCCCGAAAGGGAGAUUAAUACCGCAUAAUAUGUUUUGGUCGCAUGACUGAAACAUCAAAGGAUUUUCUUCGGAAAUUCCACUUUGAGAUGGACCCGCGGCGCAUUAGCUAGUUGGUGAGGUAACGGCUCACCAAGGCGACGAUGCGUAGCCGACCUGAGAGGGUGAUCGGCCACAUUGGAACUGAGACACGGUCCAGACCUCUACGGGAG
rnacentral:rRNA from 1 species